UUCAGCUACACAUGAACGUACCUUGGAAAAGGCACACCAAGAGCCAACUUAGGCUGAGGCACGCCACAUCUUAUUUUUGGAAAGUAAUACACAUCAGUCACGAAAUGGAUACCUAGUAGAAGAUCCUUACGACUCUUUAAGGCGGAACAUUUGUCGGAAUCGGCCGCAUCGGAUCAAAAUGUCACAUAGCUAAACAAACGGAACAAUAUGAAGUUGUAUAAGUAUACCCGAAAAUCA